rnacentral:lncRNA from 1 species
ACAGAGAUGGGUGCAGUCAUUUGUGUUUUUGCUCCAGGACUGCAGAACAGACGUAAGCCAGAUGUAGCUUGGAAGCUGAACAGUUACAGAAGCAAAGCACUAAACUCAAACCCACAUAUCUGUUGCUCAGCAAAGUUAAUCAACUUUGACUCAGCACUGUAUUAAUGUAUUCAAAGCCUCAUGAAGGCUUGCUAGCUCAGCUGGAAUUCCCCCUCUACAUACCAGAGUUCUCUUUAUAGUACUCAGAUAGUACAGAGAGUCUUACUGUGAGUUUACCUGUAGUUUACAAAAAUUUUAAGGCCUCUUAGAUUAUCAAAGCAGAAUAAGCCCAAAGGUAUCCAUGGUACAGUGAAAUGAAAGUUUGACUAUAAAGCUUGUUAUCACCUUAGGCAAAAGCAGGGAAAUUUUUACUUAUUUUAAUUUAUUGCCAAUUAACAGAAAUUUAUGAUCACUAGUCUAGGUAUUGUAGAAAAAUAAAACAACAUCAAACAUAUAAAAACAAAUGAAGAAAGCAUAAAAAAUAACACAUCAGUACACAUCCUUUCUCCUCCUUCCUCAAGCUCACACCUAUCUUGUCCCCUUCCUAGUCUCAAUUUCCUUUAUUCUUGCUGGGAAAUAAACUCAGUUCACUCUGCUCCUACGGCAAGACAAAGGGUGUCUUAGGAAGUUGGGUUGUGCAGACAACAGCUUCUGCUUGUUUCUCUGUAGCUGUUUUCUUCAUCCACUCAAGAAUCGUUCAAUCUGACAAGCAGGAAAUCAAGUAAAGGUAAUGGGAGACCUGCAUAGGUGAACAAGUAGUACUUGAUAGAACUCCAGCAAAAAAGUGUGCAUACAAGAGGUGGAAGCAGGGAGAACUGGAAACAGUAGCAUAUAAAGAUAUUGCUUGAUUGUGCAAGUAUGGAGUUUGGAAAGCCAAAGCUGGCCUGGAGUUAAAUCCGAUGAGAAAUGUGAAAAACAAUAAGAAAAGGCUAGGGAAAAAUGUGGUGCCUUUGUGACAAAGGAUACAGAAAAGGACAAGGUAUUCAAGAUCUUUGCCUUGUAUAAACAGUCUUCAGUAAUCCAGGCCCAUGAGAUCUGUGGAAGGGUCUACGGCAAGGAAUACUCCCCUUGGAGGAUGAGGAUUGAGCCAUAAACAAAUUGGGUAAAUCCAACUCCAUGAGACCUAAUGGGAUACACUUAUUAAUGCUGAGGGUGCUGGGAGGGUCUCUCGGAGUUGUUCUUGCCCUGGUGUGUUUUACCCACAGCUACAAUUACCUUAUUUGUCAUGAAGUGCCU